rnacentral:rRNA from 1 species
UACGGAGGGUGCAAGCGUUAUCCGGAUUCACUGGGCUUAAAGGGUGCGUAGGCGGCGCGGUAAGUCGGGUGUGAAAUCUCGGAGCUUAACUCCGAAACUGCAUUCGAUACUGCCGUGCUUGAGGACUGGAGAGGAGACUGGAAUUUACGGUGUAGCGGUGAAAUGCGUAGAUAUCGUAAGGAAGACCAGUGGCGAAGGCGGGUCUCUGGACAGUUCCUGACGCUGAGGCACGAAGGCCAGGGGAGCAAACGGG